AGCAGGCCCACCCCUUCUUUAGGGGUCAGUGAGGCCAAAGCAAGGCAAAGAAACCUGAUAAAAUCCUUCUUUCCUCUCCAAGAUGGCAAAGCACUCCUUCCAGCCAGGUUACAGUGUUUUGCAGACAUCUGCAAGAGGAAGAUACAGUUGUGAAGAACCUGGAAGCAAAUAGAGUUAUUGGGACCCUAUCACAGGGUUUUCUUGGCAAGGUUUCUUCGGAGGAGGUUUGCUAUGGCCUUCAUCUGAGGCUGAGAGAGUGCAACUUGCCCAAGGUCAUCCAGUAGGUUUUCAUGACCAAGUAAGGAUAUACAUUCUGUACUCUCAAGUUGCAUCCAAUGCUUGAAACACUAUGCCAUACCAAAAUCAUAUACUGUAAGCCAACAUCAUUAUAGGAUUGUAUGGACUUUUGGAAUGCUUUGCAACUAUCAACAAUCCUAUACAGAGGCCAGUAUCAUUUUUCUACCUUGUAUGUCAGAUCCUGAAGAGCUUAAGGUUUACUAAGGCUGGAUCGACACUGCCAUAUAAUCUAGUUCAAAGCAGAUCAUCUGGAUUCAGAAACUGGAUUAUAUGGCAAUGUAGAUGGGGCCUUAGAAUGAAGGCUGUGGGGUCACAUGUGAUCUGAAGACUUUUCAGAUGGCAAUUAUACUGUAUAUUUUGCAUCCAGGCAUCUGUUAUUUUAAAUAUUAAACUUGUUAUAUGUUCAUCCAAUCUUUCCUCUAUUAAGGUUAUGAUAGUGUUUUUCCACUCUUCCUUUUAUAUUCACAAAGACCUUACAUAAGGAAGGUGGGACUGAAAAAGGGUGGCUCUAAAGCUGUCUAUACUGUAGAAUGAAUACUGUUUGAUACCACU